rnacentral:rRNA from 1 species
CGAUUAGCCAUGCGAGUUAAAUGUUCUUCGUGAACAUAGCGAACUGCUCAGUAACACGUGGAUAACCUACCCUUAGGACCGGAAUAACCCCGGGAAACUGGGGAUAAUACCGGAUAAGCCAUAGACGCUGGAAUGCCCUAUGGUUCAAAGCUCCGGCGCCUAAGGAUGGAUCUGCGGUCUAUCAGGUUGUAGUGGGUGUAACGUACCUACUAGCCGACGACGGAUACGGGUUGUGAGAGCAAGAGCCCGGAGAUGGAUUCUGAGACACGAAUCCAGGCCCUACGGGGUGCAGCAGGCGCGAACACUUUACAAUGCGGGAAACCGCGAUAAGGGAACCCCGAGUGCCAGCAUCAAAUGUUGGCUGUCCAGAUGAUUAAAAAUCAUUUGUUAGCAAGGGCCGGGCAAGACCGGUGCCAGCCGCCGCGGUAACACCGGCGGCCCGAGUGGUAGCCGUUUUUAUUGGGUCUAAAGGGUCCGUAGCCGGCUUGAUGAGUCCUUUGGGAAAUCUGGCAGCUUAACUGUCAGGCUUCUAAGGGAUACUGUCACGCUUGGGACCGGAAGAGGUAAGGGGUACUCCAGGGGUAGGAGUGAAAUCUUGUAAUCCCUGGGGGACCAUCUGUGGCGAAGGCGCCUUACCAGAACGGGUCCGACGGUGAGGGACGAAAGCUAGGGGAGCAAACCGGAUUAGAUACCCGGGUAGUCCUAGCUGUAACGAUGCUCGCUAGGUGUCAGACACGGUGCGACCGUGUUUGGUGCCGCAGGNANCCGUUAAGCGAGCNCCUGGGAAGUACGGUCGCAGGCUGAACUUAAAG